rnacentral:rRNA from 1 species
AUGCAAUGCAGUAAACUUGUGGGCCGGCCCCAUCACCCAUCAAUUCCCCUCGUCGUCCUCGUCGUCCUCAAGCUCGAGCCUCUCCUUCUCGGCCCUGCGCUUCUCCUUCUCCGCCCUGAGCUCCUCUGCCUCCUUGAUCCAGAGGUCGGCGAACUCGCAGUCCCUGUACCUGUCGAACCAGGGUCCCCCGCAGGUGUAGUGCAGGGCCUUCGGCUGCGUGGUCGGGUCGUCAGGGUCGACCUUGUUGUGGCCGACGAGGAAGUUCCAGACGAAGGGCACCUCCCCGAUCUCGUCGUCGUCGAGCCAGGAGAAUCGGUGGAGGAAGGCGCCGGUCUUGGUGCUGACAGCAUCCGGGGUGAGCGCGGCGACGUUCUUGGGGUGGGCGCAGUUGUAGAGCACCAUGGAGGACCAGUUCUUGCGCGGGUACACGGUCUGCAUGACGCCGUCCAUCUUGGUGGCCUCGAGGGGCGUGUACUCGUGCUUGACGCAGACGACGGCGAGGCGCUUUGCGGCGGCGGCGUCGGAGGGCACGGCGGAGGCGAUGAGCUCGGCGACGUCGGCGAGGUAGAGGAAGUCGCAGUCGAUGAAGAGCGCCCAGCCGCGGUAGCCGGCGAGGAAGGGGGUGAGGAAGCGGGUGAAGGAGAACUCGGUGCUCUCCAUGUGGCCCCGCGUGCGCCAGUAGAGGCCCGACGCGCGCAGGUCCGGCUGCCGGAUGGGGCGCACGUCGAGCGGCACGGUGGCGUGGCGGAUCAGGCUGCGGCGGCACACCUCGUACGCCUCGUGCUCCUUCGGGUCGUACCCGACGAAGACGCGGAACGGCUCCGGCGACGGCGGCACCGUCAUGGUCUGGAUCUGGGCGGUGGCGAGGGGAAUGGAGCGGAGGAGGAGGGCGCGGGCUUUAAUGGAGGGAGGCGAGGUGGGGCUGAAAGUACUAAAGAUGGCAAACGGGGGAGGUGA